AUUGAACGCUGGCGGCAGGCCUAACACAUGCAAGUCGAACGGUAACAGGAAGCAGCUUGCUGCUUUGCUGACGAGUGGCGGACGGGUGAGUAAUGUCUGGGAAACUGCCUGAUGGAGGGGGAUAACUACUGGAAACGGUAGCUAAUACCGCAUAACGUCGCAAGACCAAAGAGGGGGACCUUCUGGCCUCUUGCCAUCGGAUGUGCCCAGAUGGGAUUAGCUAGUAGGUGGGGUAACGGCUCACCUAGGCGACGCUCCCUAGCUGGUCUGAGAGGAUGACCAGCCACACUGGAACUGAGACACGGUCCAGACUCCUACGGGAGGCAGCAGUGGGGAAUAUUGCACAAUGGGCGCAAGCCUGAUGCAGCCAUGCCGCGUGUAUGAAGAAGGCCUUCGGGUUGUAAAGUACUUUCAGCGGGGAGGAAGGGAGUAAAGUUAAUACCUUUGCUCAUUGACGUUACCCGCAGAAGAAGCACCGGCUAACUCCGUG
rnacentral:rRNA from 1 species